GACGAACGCUGGCGGCGUGCCUAAUACAUGCAAGUAGAACGCACAGUUUAUACCGUAGCUUGCUACACCAUAGACUGUGAGUUGCGAACGGGUGAGUAACGCGUAGGUAACCUGCCUGGUAGCGGGGGAUAACUAUUGGAAACGAUAGCUAAUACCGCAUAAUAUUAAUUAUUGCAUGAUAAUUAAUUGAAAGGUGCAAUUGCACCACUACCAGAUGGACCUGCGUUGUAUUAGCUAGUAGGUGAGGUAACGGCUCACCUAGGCGACGAUACAUAGCCGACCUGAGAGGGGGAUCGGCCACACUGGGACUGAGACACGGCCCAGACUCCUACGGGAGGCAGCAGUAGGGAAUCUUCGGCAAUGGACGAAAGUCUGACCGAGCAACGCCGCGUGAGUGAAGAAGGGUUUCGGAUCGUAAAGCUCGGUUGUAAGAGAAGAACGGGUGUGAGAGUGGAAAGUUCACACUGUGACGGUAUCUUACCAGAAAGGGACGGCUAACUACGUG
rnacentral:rRNA from 1 species